rnacentral:rRNA from 1 species
GACGAACGCUGGCGGCGUGCUUAACACAUGCAAGUCGAACGCAGUGGCGAACGGGUGAGUAACGCGUAAUCAACCUGCCCUUCUGAGGGGGACAACAGUUGGAAACGACUACUAAUACCGCAUACUGAAGGAGGGGAUUGCGUCUGAUUAGCUAGUUGGGGGGGUAACGGCCCACCAAGGCGAUGAUCAGUAGCCGGGCUGAGAGGGUGAACGGCCAAAAUGGGACUGGGGCACGGGCCAGGAUCCUACGGGAGGCAGCAGGGGGGAAUCUUCCGCAAUGGACGACAGUCUGACGGAGCAACGCCGCGUGAGUGAUGGCGGGCUUCGGGUUGUAAAGCUCUGUUAAUCGGGACGCGGUACCGGAAUAGAAAGCCACGGCUAACUACGUGCCAGCAGCCGCGGUAAUUC